rnacentral:rRNA from 1 species
AUUGCACGCUGGCGGCAGGCUUAACACAUGCAAGUCGAGCGAGCGUCUGACGGGUGAGUAAUUUCUGUGAAACUUCCUGAUGGAGGGGGAUAACUACUGUAAACGGUAGCUAAUACCGCAUACCAUCCAAUCUGCCCAAAUGGGAUUAGCUAGUAGGUGGGGUAAUGGCUCACCUAGGCUACGAUCCCUAGCUGGUCUGAGAGGAUGACCAGCAACACUGGAACUGAGACACGGUCCAGAAUCCUACGGGAGGCAGCAGUGGGGAAUAUUGCACAAUGGGCGCAAGCCUGAUGCAGCCAUGCCGCGUGUGUGAAGAAGGCCUUCGGGUUGUAAAGCACUUUCGGCGAGGAGGCGUUACUCGCAGAAGAAGCACCGGCUUACUCCGUGCCAGCAGCCGCGGUAAUAC